AUUGAACGCUGGCGGCAGGCCUAACACAUGCAAGUCGAACGAGUGGCGGACGGGUGAGUAAUGUCUGGGAAACUGCCUGAUGGAGGGGGAUAACUACUGGAAACGGUAGCUCAUACCGCAUACCAUCAGAUGUGUCCAUCUGGGUUUGGCUUGUUGGUGGGGUAACGGCUCACAAAGGCGACGAUCCCUAGCUGGUCUGAGAGGAUGACCAGCCACACUGGAACUGAGACACGGUCCAGACUCCUAGGGGAGGCAGCAGUGGGGAAUAUGGCGCAAUGGGCGCAAGCCUGAUGCAGCCAGGCCGCGUGUAUGAAGAAGGCCUUCGGGUUGUAAAGUACUUUCAGCGGGGAGGCGUUACCCGCAGAAGAAGCACCGGCUAACUCCGUGCCAGCAGCCGCGGUAAUUC
rnacentral:rRNA from 1 species